UACGAAGGGGGCUAGCGUUGUUCGGAAUUACUGGGCGUAAAGCGCACGUAGGCGGAUUCUUAAGUCAGGUGUGAAAUCCCGGGGCUCAACCUCGGAACUGCAUUUGAAACUGGGAAUCUAGAGACCAGGAGAGGUUAGCGGAAUACCGAGUGUAGAGGUGAAAUUCGUAGAUAUUCGGUGGAACACCAGUGGCGAAGGCGGCUAACUGGACUGGUACUGACGCUGAGGUGCGAAAGUGUGGGGAGCAAACAGG
rnacentral:rRNA from 1 species